CAAGAGAGAGGAAGUCUCCAAGGAGCACUGGUGAUGCACUGGUAAAUGGGAUAAAAGAGGAUACGUUUGGCCACCCAGUGAGAGUAAAACCUUGCUGUAUGUUGUCUCUUGUGCCUCCCCCUCCCCUCUCAGAACUGACAAGGCAAUUAGAUGCCUUCUCCCCGUCGGGUUAGACCUUACGUCCGUGGCAGAAGACAAUCAGAACAUAAGACUACACAUCCCAACUUUGUACAACUGCAGCCAGUCUGUCGCUGGUGCUAUUCAUUUAGACCAUGAUAUAAACAGAGACUCUGGGUCACAAGCAGCAGCGCCCUGGAGAUUGAUCUUCAAUUCCUGGAGACUCCAGGCCAACCCUGGAGGGUUGUCAACCCUAAUGGACUCUCAUGUUUGAUCCAUGGCCUCUGCUACAUUGGUUAUAUUGGUCAUGAUGGUUGGCGACAAGUCUGGCUUUGCAAUGAGAAAACGAACCCAAGGCAUCCCCUGCUGGGAAGCGUGUAGAAUUCCAGAUUCUGUUCCAAUCAGGGAGCUAUGAUUGUCAUCAGAUAAGGGUUCUCUCUGCUGAAGAUCGAAUACUGGCCCACUCAUCUCUUGCUGUGAUUGUAGGGGUUCCUGGCAUCGUGAUUUAAUGAUUAAAUAAAAGUGAAAAAUCACAUUGCCAGGGAUUACCACACAGUCACAGGCACAGGCAGCUGUUAGUGAAAGGCUGGCAACAAAAGAUUAACACUUGAGGAGUAAUAGCUUCCUGUUGUGUGAGUCACAAGGACUGAAGUCAUUAGCUACUUGUUGCAGUCCAACGCCCAGCAGAAACUAAGCAUUUUUUAAAACAUUUUUCAAUAUAUAUACAAGUUUGAUGCUGUGACCAAAUGGGAGUUGAGCCAGUGUUUCUGGAAGGAGGCGAUCAAGUUACACUGCGGUUUAUCUUCUUCAUCCUGAUUUUGUGAAGAAGGAAGCACUAAAUUAAAAUUAGAUUGGGUUUAAAAAAAACUUGCUUAAAUGCAAGUGUAGAUACCGUUAUCGGCAUAUUGCAGAGUCUGAUGUGAUCACCUAUUCCAAGGACGAGGGGCCUCAGUUGUGGCAUUAGAAGCUGCACCUGUUCUUGGAGAAGGCUGAGAGGAAAUUUAGUGUAGGCUUUCUAAGUUAUGACGGGUCUGGACAGGGUAGAUAGGGAGAAACUGUUCACGUUGGCAAGAAGGAAUGAAAACCAAAGGACACACAGGCCGGGAUUUCCCGAUUGGU